AUUGAACGCUGGCGGCAGGCCUAACACAUGCAAGUCGAGCGGAUGAGAAGAGCUUGCUCUUCGAUUCAGCGGCGGACGGGUGAGUAAUGCCUAGGAAUCUGCCUGGUAGUGGGGGACAACGUUUCGAAAGGAACGCUAAUACCGCAUACGUCCUACGGGAGAACGCAGGGGACCUUCGGGCCUUGCGCUAUCAGAUGAGCCUAGGUCGGAUUAACUAGUUGUUUAGGUAAUGGCUCACCAAGGCGACGAUCCGUAACUGGUCUGAGAGGAUGAACAGUAACACUGGAACUGAGACACGGUCCAGCCUCCUACGAGAGGCAGCAGUGGGUAAUAUUGGACAAUGGGCGAAAGCCUGAUCCAGCCAUGCCGCGUGUGUGAAGAAGGUCCUCGGAUUGUAAAGCACUUUAAGUUGGGAGGAAGAGUUGUAGAUUAAUACUCUGCAAUUUUGACGUUACCGACAGAAUAAGCACCGGCUAACUCUGUGCCAGCCGCCGCGGUAACAC
rnacentral:rRNA from 1 species